rnacentral:rRNA from 1 species
CAGUCGCCGCGGUAAUACGUAGGGUGCGAGCGUUAAUCGGAAUUACUGGGCGUAAAGCGUGCGCAGGCGGUUGUGUAAGACAGGUGUGAAAUCCCCGGGCUUAACCUGGGAACUGCGCUUGUGACUGCACAGCUAGAGUAUGGCAGAGGGGGGUGGAAUUCCACGUGUAGCAGUGAAAUGCGUAGAGAUGUGGAGGAACACCGAUGGCGAAGGCAGCCCCCUGGGCCAAUACUGACGCUCAUACACGAAAGCGUGGGGAGCAAACAGGAUUAGAUACCCCCGUAGUCCCUGUCUCUUAUAA